rnacentral:rRNA from 1 species
GAUGAACGCUGGCGGCGUGCCUAAUACAUGCAAGUCGAGCGAACAGACGAGGAGCUUGCUCCUCUGACGUUAGCGGCGGACGGGUGAGUAACACGUGGAUAACCUACCUAUAAGACUGGGAUAACUUCGGGAAACCGGAGCUAAUACCGGAUAAUAUAUUGAACCGCAUGGUUCAAUAGUGAAAGACGGUUUUGCUGUCACUUAUAGAUGGAUCCGCGCCGCAUUAGCUAGUUGGUAAGGUAACGGCUUACCAAGGCGACGAUGCGUAGCCGACCUGAGAGAGUGAUCGGCCACAUUGGAACUGAGACACGGUCCAGACUCCUACGGGAGGCAGCAGUAGGGAAUCUUCCGCAGUGGGCGAAAGCCUGACGGAGCAACGCCGCGUGAGUGAUGAAGGUCUUCGGAUCGUAAAACUCUGUUAUGAGGGAAGAACAAAUGUGUAAGUAACUAUGCACGUCUUGACGGUACCUAAUCAGAAAGCCACGGCUAACUACGUG